GGAGGCAGCAGUGGGGAAUUUUGGACAAUGGGGGCAACCCUGAUCCAGCAAUGCCGCGUGUGUGAAGAAGGCCUUCGGGUUGUAAAGCACUUUUGUCCGGAAAGAAAACCUCCCGGUUAAUACCUGGGGGGGAUGACGGUACCGGAAGAAUAAGCACCGGCUAACUACGUGCCAGCAGCCGCGGUAAUACGUAGGGUGCGAGCGUUAAUCGGAAUUACUGGGCGUAAAGCGUGCGCAGGCGGUGCUGUAAGACCGAUGUGAAAUCCCCGGGCUUAACCUGGGAACUGCAUUGGUGACUGCAGCGCUGGAGUAUGGCAGAGGGGGGUGGAAUUCCACGUGUAGCAGUGAAAUGCGUAGAGAUGUGGAGGAACACCGAUGGCGAAGGCAGCCCCCUGGGCCAAUACUGACGCUCAUGCACGAAAGCGUGGGGAGCAAACAGGAUUAGAUACCCUGGUAGUCCACGCCCUAAACGAUGUCAACUGGUUGUCGGGCCUUCAUUGGCUUGGUAACGUAGCUAACGCGUGAAGUUGACCGCCUGGGGAGUACGGUCGCAAGAUUAAAACUCAAAGGAAUUGACGGGGACCCGCACAAGCGGUGGAUGAUGUGGAUUAAUUCGAUGCAACGCGAAAAACCUUACCUACCCU
rnacentral:rRNA from 2 species